AGGCUCUAAUUGAUUAGCCAACAAGGUGUGUGUGCACGCGCCUAUAAAUUCUUGCCACAAGGUUUGGUCCUCAACUGGAUUUUACUCAGUCCCACACACAUUUGUGCCUUGAAGGGGCCAGAGGGACUUUUUAUUAUUAAAAACUCGUUUUAAUCAGGACCAGAGUACGGCGGUCAAAAUGAAGGUAUCCAGAGCUUCAGCAGAAAAGCGCAGGAUAUCAUUUCAAAAUGCCAGGAGGCGUUUGGGACUUGGGGUUGUUGGCCGUGAACAUCCGCUAGGCGUUCAUCAGCGAAUCGUGCAACACGGAGUGAUUGAUUUACAAGUGGACCGCAGACGUAUUCGUAUCGGACUACUCCUGGACCGCUUCUACUUUGCCAUUUUAAGCAGGACGGCAAAUCAACACCGCCGCAAUAUUUGUGCUGGUGGUUAAGAAUUUGGACUUGGAUUUUAACGCACUUUUUGUCAUUGUUUGGAAUAUUUUAAAUGCCCCUUUGUCAUUGUUUUGUGAACAUGAUAAACACUGAAUUUAAUAAUAAAAAAAAUGAUUUUACAAACCUUA